ACUAGCAGUAAGAGUUUGAUCAUGGCUCAGGAUAAACGUUGGCGGCGUGCCUAAUGCAUGCAAGUCGCACGGAGGCGAAAGCUUCAGUGGCGGACGGGUGAGUAACACGUAGGAACCUGCCUGGAAGUGGGGGAUAACUCCUCGAAAGAGGAGCUAAUACCGCAUAUGGUCCACGGACCAAAGCAGCAAUGCGCUUCCAGAGGGGCCUGCGGCGGAUUAGCUAGUUGGUGGGGUAAUGGCCUACCAAGGCAACGAUCGGUAGCUGGUCUGAGAGGAUGGUCAGCCACACGGGGACUGAGACACGGCCCCGACUCCUACGGGAGGCAGCAGCUAGGAAUCUUGGGAAUGGGCGAAAGCCUGACCCAGCAACGCCGCGUGGGCGAUGAAGGCCUUAGGGUCGUAAAGCCCUUUUGUGGGGGAAGAUGAUGACGGUACCCCACGAAUAAGCCACGGCUAACUACGUGCCAGCAGCCGCGGUAAUUC
rnacentral:rRNA from 1 species